UACGUAGGGUGCGAGCGUUAAUCGGAAUUACUGGGCGUAAAGUGUGCGCAGGUGGCCGCGCAUGUCGAGUGUGAAAUCCCCGGGCUUAACUUGGGAAUUGCGCUCGAAACUACGUGGCUCGAGUGUGGCAGAGGAAGGUGGAAUUCCACGUGUAGCGGUGAAAUGCGUAGAGAUCAGGCGGAACACCCGUGGCGAAGGCGGCCAGCUGGGCCGUCCCUGACGCUGGAGGCGCGAAGGCGUGGGGAGCGAACGGG
rnacentral:rRNA from 1 species